AGAGUUUGAUCCUGGCUCAGAUUGAACGCUGGCGGCGUGCUUAACACAUGCAAGUCGAACGGCAGCACGGGGGCGAACCCUCGGUGGCGAGUGGCGAACGGGUGAGUAAUGCAUCGGAACGUAUCCUUGAGUGGGGGAGUAACGCAGCGAAAGUUGUGCUAAUACCGCAUAAGCUCUGAGGAGGAAAGCGGGGGCCGAAAGCCUCGCGCUGAAGGAGCGGCCGAUGUCCGAUUAGCUAGUUGGUGAGGUAAAGGCUUACCAAGGCGACGAUCGGUAGCUGGUCUGAGAGGAUGAUCAGCCACACUGGGACGUGAGACACGGCCCAGACUCCUACGGGAGGCGAC
rnacentral:rRNA from 1 species